rnacentral:rRNA from 1 species
UACGUAGGGUGCAAGCGUUGUCCGGAAUUAUUGGGCGUAAAGAGCUCGUAGGCGGUUUGUUGCGUCGGCUGUGAAAUCCCGAGGCUCAACCUCGGGUCUGCAGUCGAUACGAGCAAACUAGAGUGUUGCAGGGGAGACUGGAAUUCCUGGUGUAGCGGUGAAAUGCGUAGAUAUCGAGAGGAACACCUGCGGCGAAGGCGGGUAGCUGGGCCGACACUGACGCUGAGGCACGAAAGCUAGGGGAGCAAACAGG